UACGUAGGUGGCAAGCGUUGUCCGGAUUUACUGGGUGUAAAGGGCGUGUAGCCGGGCUUACAAGUCAGAUGUGAAAUCCGGGGGCUCAACCCCCGAACUGCAUUUGAAACUGUAGGUCUUGAGUAUCGGAGAGGCUGGCGGAAUUCCUAGUGUAGCGGUGAAAUGCGUAGAUAUUAGGGGGAACACCAGUGGCGAAGGCGGCCUGCUGGACGACAACUGACGGUGAGGCGCGAAAGCGUGGGGAGCAAACAGG
rnacentral:rRNA from 1 species